CAAAGGAUAGUUUAUAAAAAUAUUAAUUUUGGAGAUUAAUGAUAAGAUCUUAUCUUUCCUUUGA
rnacentral:tRNA from 1 species